rnacentral:rRNA from 1 species
AGCGAACGCUGGCGGCAGGCCUAACACAUGCAAGUCGAACGAACUCUUCGGAGUUAGUGGCGGACGGGUGAGUAACACGUGGGAACGUGCCUUUUGGUUCGGAAUAACUCAGGGAAACUUGUGCUAAUACCGAAUGUGCCCUUCGGGGGAAAGAUUUAUCGCCAUUAGAGCGGCCCGCGUCUGAUUAGCUAGUUGGUGAGGUAACGGCUCACCAAGGCGACGAUCAGUAGCUGGUCUGAGAGGAUAACCAGCCACACUGGGACUGAGACACGGCCCAGACUCCUACGGGAGGCAGCAGUGGGGAAUCUUGCGCAAUGGGCGAAAGCCUGACGCAGCCAUGCCGCGUGAAUGAUGAAGGUCUUAGGAUUGUAAAAUUCUUUCACCGGGGACGAUAAUGACGGUACCCGGAGAAGAAGCCCCGGCUAACUUCGUG